GCCCGCCUCAGUCCUCCCUCAGCGUCUUACCUUGCCUCCUCACCGAGCCUGGGCCGGCUUCCCUCCGCCGACGUCAGGCCGUCGCUCGUUGCUCAGGGCGAGAAUCUCGCGGUCUUCUGACCUCCAAUGCGCAAGUCAGUGGCGUCACAUCCUGGCAACGGUACUACCCUGGGUUCCGGGCAGGGGUGGAACUGGAUUCUGCCUGGAUGGGGAUCGGAUGGGGGUGGAGGUUUGAUUUGGGAAGCAGAGCACAGCAGCCCAAAUUUGUUGUAAUGGCGGCGGCUACAGAGUGGAGAGACCUGCUGCCCUUGAAGAAGCAAACAGCCAUGUUGUGAGCUGCCUAAGCCUCUAGGUCUUGAGGGAAGCUUACAGUUAAGAGCCAGCAAAAGCCAGGGCCCUCAGUCAUGCCACACAAGGAAACGAAUCCUGCCAGCAACUAUGGGGGCUUGGAAGAGGAUAUUAAGCUUCAGUUGAGAAUGCAGCCUGACUGACACCAUCAUUGCAGCCUUGUGAGACCCCAAUCAGAGGACCCAGCUGAGCUGUACCCAGACUCCUAACCCACGGAAACUGAGAAAAUAAAUGUGUGCUAUUUAUAGCUGCU
rnacentral:lncRNA from 1 species